rnacentral:rRNA from 1 species
UACGAAGGGGGCUAGCGUUGUUCGGAAUCACUGGGCGUAAAGCGCACGUAGGCGGAUCUUUAAGUCAGAGGUGAAAUCCCAAGGCUCAACCUUGGAACUGCCUUUGAUACUGGGGAUCUUGAGUCCGGGAGAGGUGAGUGGAACUGCGAGUGUAGAGGUGAAAUUCGUAGAUAUUCGCAAGAACACCAGUGGCGAAGGCGGCUCACUGGCCCGGUACUGACGCUGAGGUGACGAAAGGCGUGGGGAGCAAACAGG